CACCUCCGAUCAAACGAAAUGACCCGCUGAAUUUAA
rnacentral:rRNA from 1 species